rnacentral:rRNA from 1 species
GAUGAACGCUAGCUACAGGCUUAACACAUGCAAGUCGAGGGGUAACGAGAGGGAAGCUUGCUUUCCUUGUCGACGACCGGCGGAUGGGUGAGUAACGCGUAUCCAACCUGCCCUUCAGUAAGGGAUAGCCUUUCGAAAGAAAGAAUAAUACCUUAUGUGAUCGUCCGAUGACAUCAGACGACGAUCAAAGAUUUAUAGCUGAAGGAUGGGGAUGCGUCACAUUAGGCAGUAGGCUGGGUAACGGCACACCUAACCUACGAUGGGGAGGGGAUCUGGGACUAAACGCCCCCACAGUGUAACGGAGACACGGACAAAACUCCUACGGGGGGAAGCAGGGAAGAAGAUUGGUCAAGGGCCGUAAGGCCGAACCAGCCAAGUCGCGUGCCGGAUUCCUGCCCUAUGGGUUGUAACCUGCUUUUAACCGGGGAUAAAGUGAGCCACGUGUGGUUUAUUGCAGGUACCGUUUGAAUAAGGACCGGCUAAUUCCGUGCCAGCCGCCGCCGUAACAC